rnacentral:tRNA from 1 species
GGGGGUGUAUUGGCUGGUGUCGCCAUUCCGAAUUUUGACUCCGCGGGUUCGAAUCCCGCCACCUCCA